rnacentral:lncRNA from 1 species
UCCAGCUGGUAUAAUAAUAACUCCACUACCAUAGACGUCCCCUCCUCCAGCUGGUAUAAUAAUAACUCCACUACCAUAGACGUCCCCUCCUCCAGCUCCCACAGAGUAGGAGUGUAUCUGGACUGGUCAGCCGGCACUCUGUCCUUCUAUAGAGCCUCCUCUGACACACUGACCCACCUGAUCACAUUCACCUCCACAUUCACUGAGCCCCUCUAUCCAGGAUUUAGGGUUUAUGUUGACUCCUCAGUGUCCCUGAAAUAAUAACUGGACACACACACACACACACACACACGACACACACACACACACACACACACACACACACACACACACACACACACACACUGGACACACACACACACACUGGACACAGACACUGGACACACACACAAACACUGGACACACACACAAACACUGGACACACACACACACACACACACACUGGACACACACACGGACACACACACACACACUGGACACACACACACACACUGGACACACACACACACACACUGGACACACACUGGACACACACACACACACACUGGACGGACACACACACUGGACGGACACACACACACACACUGGACACACUGGACACACACCCAAACACACACACUGGACACACACACACACACACACACUGGACACACACACACACUGGACACACACACACACACACACACUGGACACACACACACACACUGAACACACACUGAACACACACACACACACUGAACACACACACACACACACUGAACACACACACACACACUGAACACACACACACACACUGAACACACACACACACACACUGAACACACACACACACACACUGAACACACACACACACACACACUGAACACACACACACACACACACACACUGGACACACACACACACACACACACUGGACAUACACACACACACACUGGACACACAUACACACUGAACACACACACACACACUGAACACACACACACACACACACUGAACACACACACACACACACACUGAACACACACACUGGACACACACACACACACACUGGACACACACACUGGACAUACACACACAUACACACUGGACACACACACACACUGGACACACAUACACACACACUGGACACACAUACACACUGAACACACACACACACUGGACACACACACAGGCUUGACACACACAGGCUUGACACACACAUGCUUGACAAACACACUGGAUACACACACACACACACAGACACUCUGGACACACACACAAACACUGACACACACACUGACACACAUAAACACUGACACACACACACACACUGACACACAUAAACACUGACACACACACACACACACACUCACUGGACACACACACACACACACACACUGGACACACACACACACACACUGGACACACACACACACUGACACACACACACACACUCACUGGACACACACACACACACACACUCACUGGACACACACACACACACACACACACACACACACUGAACACUCACACAUGACAGGCUUGUAAUAUUUUCUUAUCUUUUACCACUUUGCAUUUUUUAUGAUAUAUUUUACUGUUUGUGUUUGUACCACAGG